GAGAUCUAGUGAUAAAUUGGAGCACCUUCGUCUCAGAGGCCUGAAAAGAAAAUCCAUGGUCAUCGGAGAUUUUCUGAUGAGGGAUGAGAGACCUCCGAUGUUUAAAUUAGUCAGAACUCGAAAAUAGUAAAAAAUGAGAAAGGGAUAGAGGAAAAGCUUUUCUUUAGAGAAAAUACUUAUCCAAAGAUUCGCUUUCUUCCCCU
rnacentral:lncRNA from 1 species